CGGGGCGUGGCUCAGCCUGGUAGAGCGCUGCGUUCGGGACGCAGAGGUCGUGUGUUCAAAUCACAUCGCCCCGAC
rnacentral:tRNA from 3 species